GCCUAGGUGGUGUAAACGGUAACAUGCACACAACUUGAGCCUCGUUUGGACUACUGUACUAUCAUCCUGCGCCAUUUGGGGCACUUUGGAUAGGCGGCAGGAGAGGCAAUUGGAUAUGUGUGAUCUGAGUUCAAGUCUCAGUCUGGGCA